GAUGAACGCUGGCGGCGUGCCUAAUACAUGCAAGUCGAGCGAACAGAUAAGGAGCUUGCUCCUUUGACGUUAGCGGCGGACGGGUGAGUAACACGUGGGUAACCUACCUAUAAGACUGGGAUAACUUCGGGAAACCGGGGCUAAUACCGGAUAACAUUUGGAACCGCAUGGUUCUAAAGUGAAAGAUGGUUUUGCUAUCACUUAUAGAUGGACCCGCGCCGUAUUAGCUAGUUGGUAAGGUAACGGCUUACCAAGGCGACGAUACGUAGCCGACCUGAGAGGGUGAUCGGCCACACUGGAACGGAGACACGGUCCAGACUCCUACGGGAGGCAGCAGUAGGGAAUCUUCCGCAAUGGGCGAAAGCCUGACGGAGCAACGCCGCGUGAGUGAUGAAGGGUUUCGGCUCGUAAAACUCUGUUAUUAGGGAAGAACAAAUGUGUAAGUAACUGUGCACGUCUUGACGGUACCUAAUCAGAAAGCCACGGCUAACUACGUG
rnacentral:rRNA from 1 species